rnacentral:rRNA from 1 species
GACGAACCGUGCAAACGUUGUUCGGAAUCACUGGGCUUAAAGGGCGCGUAGGCGGGUUCCCAAGUCGGUGGUGAAAUCUUUCAGCUCAACUGGAAAAGUGCCGCCGAUACUGGGAGUCUUGAGGGAGGUAGGGGUCGGGGGAACUAAUGGUGGAGCGGUGAAAUGCGUAGAUAUCAUUAGGAACGCCGGUGGCGAAAGCGCCCGACUGGAUCUCUUCUGACGCUGAGGCGCGAAGGCCAGGGGAGCAAACGGG